rnacentral:rRNA from 1 species
GAUGAACGCUGGCGGCGUGCCUAAUACAUGCAAGUCGAACGAGGUGCUUUUGUAGCAAUACGAGAGUAUCCUAGUGGCGAACGGGUGAGUAACGCGUUGGUGACCUACCCCAAAGUGUGGGAUAACAGUCCGAAAGGACUGCUAAUACCGCAUGUGGUUAUUGGAUCUAGAAACCGGUAACUAAAGGAGCAAUUCGCUUCGGGAGGGACCUGCGUCCCAUCAGCUAGUUGGUGAGGUAAUGGCUCACCAAGGCGACGACGGGUAGGGGACCUGAGAGGGUGGCCCCCCACAAUGGAACUGAAACACGGUCCAUACACCUACGGGUGGCAGCAGUAGGGAAUAUUGCACAAUGGGCGAAAGCCUGAUGCAGCAACGCCGCGUGUGUGAUGAAGGCCUUCGGGUCGUAAAGCACUUUUCUGGGAGAUGAGAAAGGACAGUAUCCCAGGAAUAAGUCUCGGCUAACUACGUGCCAGCCGCCGCAGUAA